rnacentral:rRNA from 1 species
GGUUAAGCGACUAAGCGGACACGGUGGAUGCCUAGGCAAUCAGAGGCGAUGAAGGACGUGCUAAUCUGCGAUAAGCGUCGGUAAGGUGAUA